GCAUAUCAAUAAGCGGAGGAAAAGAAACCAACAGGGAUUGCCUCAGUAGCGGCGAGUGAAGCGGCAAAAGCUCCAUUUUGAAAGCUCUUCGGAGCGUUGUAGAUUGGUGGGAAGCUAACGGCUGGUGGGAGACCAAGUCCUCUGGAACGAGGCGCCAUAGAGGGUGAGAGCCCCGUGUGUCUCCUUUACCGACCUUUCAGCCCCCUCCGCGGAGUCGAGUUGUUUGGGAAUGCAGCUCUAAGUGGGUGGUAAAUUCCAUCUAAGGCUAAAUAUUGGCGAGAGACCGAUAGCGAACAAGUACAGUGAUGGAAAGAUGAAAAGCACUUUGAAAAGAGAGUGAAACAGUACGUGAAAUUGUUGAAAGGGAAGGGUAUUUGGCCCGACAUGGGUCCUAUGCACCGUUGCCUCUCGUGGGCGGCGCUCUGCUUGGGCCUGGGCCAGCGUCAGUUUGGAGGGGGCGAGAAGGGUUUUGGGGAGUUGCCUAGCAAUUCCCCUUUGCUAGAUUGCCCCACACCGGACUGAGGUCCGCGCAUUUAUGCUAGGAUGCUGGCGUAAUGGCUGUAAGCGGCCCGUCUUGAAACACGGACC
rnacentral:rRNA from 1 species